AACCUCUUUAACGUAGUCCAGUGAGUCUAGAAAGAGAUCGAGCUUUCUUAAGUGAAAAGAAAGCAUUGAACCUCUUUGUUAAAGAACAAAGAGGUUUUUGUUU
rfam:Bacillus wakoensis JCM 9140 DNA, contig:contig_1.